AAAAGGCGAUGAAAAUUGAUGGCGAUCGAUCAUAAUAACAAUAUCAUGAUAUUGUUAUUAUGAUCGAUCGCCAUCAAUUUUCAUCG
rnacentral:misc_RNA from 1 species